ensembl:lncRNA
CUGGGUACUUCUGUGAUAUAUUAUAAAUACCAGAGAAGGCCUGAGCGAAUGUGGCGGGGGAGUGAGGUGAGGAGAGGGCUGGGAGUAGGUCUUUCCAAACACACUUGUUAGACACGUCUGGCAAAAGGAAAAUGUAUAGUGCAAAAAUAAAAAAGGUCUUCGAGCAAUGGUUAAGACUAGAGAUUGGAAAGAAAAGUCAUGGCUGGGAAGUUGUGUGGCAGGGAAGGGGAAGAGGGAGUCGGGGGUGGGUUGUGGAAUGGAAGGGGAGGCUUCGAAAACUUCAAACAUUUAUUUUUGCCUCUGUGUUAGCAAGGAGAUCUUGGCUCUAACAGGUGUAUUUUUUCCUCCCUGGAAUGAAACAGAAGUGAAAAAAUAAGAAAAUUAAACUAAGUCUGGGUUCUGAUAGGCAAUGCAUGCUGGGAAGAUAAAACAUAAAUGGUUGAGAACCAGCCAAUGAGCCCCCAAGCCUUCAGGAUCUAGAUGUGCAGAAAUCCUCUGCCUCCAGUCUGAAGACCUAGGAUUAAAAUGUCCCCUCUCCCCACCCACUGCCCCUCCCCUCUAUGUGGAACUAACUCCCAGUGUGGUUUUGAUAUACUGGCAAUUAUAAGCAUCCAUCCCCCCCAAAAGAUAUUAGGCACUGGUGGCUACUCCUCCGAAAUGUCAGUAGCCUGUUUUCCUUCUGCGAAGGUACAAUAGGUACAUACGCACACAUGUCUAGGUGUGUGUGUACACACCACCCUUAUUAUUCUGACGUGGGGUCCUUUUUAUGGCAGUAGACAGAAGCUGGAGUCAAAGCAAUUUAUGAUUCCAAAGCUCACAGUUGAAAAAAAAUAGUAUAAACAGUCCCCAAACCAAGACCGCAUCAACCUUCCCUCAUGACCACUGAGAGGAAGCCCUGUUUGAAAAGAGUAUCUUGUUUGGGAAAUUGGUGAAGUGAUGGCCUAAGAUUUCUCUCUCAUUUUUGAUAGCUGUUUCCUGGAGGGCUUAAGAUGUAAAUGCAGGACACCUGAAGAAUACAGUAGUAUAUUUUAAGGAUGCAAUGCAUGUAAGAAAGUUAAUUGCAGCUUUGUCCCAUUUCUGGGAUCUAUUAUAGGAACUGAGAGAGGAGACUUAAGAGAGUGUUAAAAGCAAGAGAAAACCCUGGAGCCUCAGGCAGUUAGUCAUGAGAUAUCACAUUAUUUACAAAUGGUUUUUGCUUCCUUUGACACAUUUCUGUUGUCCCAUCUCAAGUAUUUCCAAAGACCCUCCACAAGGAAAAUAGGCCCUCAGAAAGGCAUUGAUGUAUCCUCAGGCCAGGCCCUCUGGUUUCCAAGCUGAGAAAUCACCAUGUUUACCGAAAUUUAAUCCAGACACCCAGAAUCCAAUCCUCCCCUCCGAGCCCUGUCUCCUGCCAGUUCCAGAAAAUGGGUGGGAAAGCACCCACAAAUCAACUUCAACCAGGUCCUACUUACUGAAUUUCCACUUUAACAAUGGUCAGGGUGCAAACUUGAGGCCAGAAAUGCUGGCCCUCCUACGAAUUUUUUUUAAAGAAAGAAACAGGAAGCCUGAUUCCUAUAAUCCAAUGGUUUGCUUCUUUCUGAAUUUCCCUGCUUUCUUCCUUCUCCAAAGAAACUCGGGCAAAAGACAAAAGCAUCUUCCCACUAUACAGUGUUUUACAUUUUAUAAAGUGAUUCCCGAAGAGGAAAUCAUUUUGAACCAUAAUCACUGGGUUUUGUUGUUCUUGCAAUCUGAGUUUCCUUCUUUUGGCUUUCCCAUAGAACGCAGGAGUGAAGGCUGUGGGUAGAAUGUUCUGAAAGUGCUGGAUGAGCCACCCAAAAGACCCCGUUUAUUUCCCCUUUGAUGCAGCUAGACACGGAUAAUCUGGAAACUUAUCCCAAACUACAGUCCGUUAAAAAUCUUCUCUGGCUUCAAAGAAGAUUUCUUAAAACUAGGAAUCCGUUCUGCUCAUCACGCAUGAGGUUGGCUGUCUUUUUACCCUGUUAUAAUCAGGCAAUCGAAGAUGCAAAGGGCACAGGAGGUGUGGGUGGGAGGACAUGGCAUCAAGAGAAGGGGUAUUUCAAGGGCUUUGCAGGGAAAACACAGAGAGAGGAGAAAGAAAUGGUCAGCAUGAAGGUCGUUUGGGGGUCUCCAAUAUUUUUACAAAAUGCAGCUUUGUCGUGGAAUCCAAACAUUUCUUCUUCUGGACAUAAAAUACUCAUCACCACCAGCCAUAAGCUGGGCCAGUGAACCAACAGUGGGGCAGGAGGCCAGUAGCUAGGAGCAGCAUUGUAAUUCAGGAUUCCACAUCUCUGGUUUGCAGCCAUGUGGCAGGAGAGAGAAGCAUAACUUGAAAUAAAGAAAAGCGUCAGUGGCUUAGAAACACUUUUUCUGCCCAUCCAACUCUGAACCCUGGAUAGAGUGUGCUUGAGAGGACAACUGCAAGAAACACCAUGCCAGCUUUUUCCUUCAAACCUGGGAUGCCCUGGAAUGUCAGGAGGUAACAGUUUAAAUGAGAAAGGGGUUUCCAGUGUUUCAAACGUCCCCUCAAGCACUGCUUAAAAUAACCAGUCCUCUCCGAGCCAAGUGCACUCAGGUUAUUUCUUGGAAAACCUGUGCACAUCAGAGUUGACGAACAAUUUAUCAAAACUCCAUUUCCAAAAUGAUCAGGGCCACCCUCACCCCCACCACGGUCUGGACUGGUUAUUAUUCACAGGUGUCAAUCUAGGCUAGAGAACAGUUUCAAAGCCACUUAGCACCCACUGAAUUCUCAGGCCAAUUCUCACAGUCAA